GAUGAACGCUGGCGGCGUGCCUAAUACAUGCAAGUCGAGCGAACAGACGAGGAGCUUGCUCCUCUGACGUUAGCGGCGGACGGGUGAGUAACACGUGGAUAACCUACCUAUAAGACUGGGAUAAAUUCGGGAAACCGGAGCUAAUACCGGAUAAUAUAUUGAACCGCAUGGUUCAAUAGUGAAAGACGGUUUUGCUGUCACUUAUAGAUGGAUCCGCGCCGCAUUAGCUAGUUGGUAAGGUAACGGCCUACCAAGGCAACGAUGCGUAGCCGACCUGAGAGGGUGAUCGGCCACACUGGAACUUAGACACGGUCCAGACUCCUACGGGAGGCAGCAGUAGGGAAUCUUCCGCAAUGGGCGAAAGCCUGACGGAGCAACGCCGCGUGAGUGAUGAAGGUCUUCGGAUCGUAAAACUCUGUUAUUAGGGAAGAACAAAUGUGUAAGUAACUAUGCACGUCUUGACGGUACCUAAUCAGAAAGCCACGGCUAACUACGUG
rnacentral:rRNA from 1 species